rnacentral:rRNA from 1 species
GGUAGGAACCGAAAGGCGACCGACCUUCGGGUAGCUUGCACAGGUGCUGCAUGGCUGUCGUCAGCUCGUGUCGUGAGAUGUUCGGUUAAGUCCGCUAACGAGCGCAACCCUCGCUGUGUGUUACAAGUGUCACACGGUACUGCCGGUCUUAAGCCGGAGGGAGGUGGGGAUGACGUCAAGUCAGCAUGGCCUUUAUGUCCUGGGCUACACACACGCUACAAUGGCCAACACAAUAGGUUGCUAAGCCGCGAGGUGGAGCCAAUCCUCAAAGUUGGUCUCAGUUCAGAUUGCAGGCUGCAACCCGCCUGCAUGAAGAUGGAGUUGCUAGUAACCGCAGGUCAGCUAUACUGCGGUGAAUACGUUCCCGGGCCUU